AUUUUUGUAGCUUAAAAAGAGCUACUCAGUGAAGUUGAGGGGGUAAAUUAAAAAUAUUUCAUUAAUA
rnacentral:tRNA from 1 species